UACGUAGGGGGCUAGCGUUGUCCGGAAUCAUUGGGCGUAAAGCGCGUGUAGGCGGUCCGGUAAGUCCGCUGUGAAAGUCGGGGGCUCAACCCUCGAACGCCGGUGGAUACUGUCGGGCUCGAGUGCGGAAGAGGCGAGUGGAAUUCCUGGUGUAGCGGUGAAAUGCGCAGAUAUCAGGAGGAACACCGAUUGCGAAGGCAGCUCGCUGGGACGUUACUGACGCUGAGACGCGAAAGCGUGGGGAGCAAACAGG
rnacentral:rRNA from 1 species